CCUUUUGUAUAAUGGGUCAGCGACUUAUAUUCUGUAGCAAGGUUAACCGAAUAGGGGAGCCGAAGGGAAACCGAGUCUUAACUGGGCGUUAAGUUGCAGGGUAUAGACCCGAAACCCGGUGAUCUAGCCAUGGGCAGGUUGAAGGUUGGGUAACACUAACUGGAGGACCGAACCGACUAAUGUUGAAAAAUUAGCGGAUGACUUGUGGCUGGGGGUGAAAGGCCAAUCAAACCGGGAGAUAGCUGGUUCUCCCCGAAAGCUAUUUAGGUAGCGCCUCGUGAAUUCAUCUCCGGGGGUAGAGCACUGUUUCGGCAAGGGGGUCAUCCCGACUUACCAACCCGAUGCAAACUGCGAAUACCGGAGAAUGUUAUCACGGGAGACACACGGCGGGUGCUAACGUCCGUCGUGAAGAGGGAAACAACCCAGACCGCCAGCUAAGGUCCCAAAGUCAUGGUUAAGUGGGAAACGAUGUGGGAAGGCCCAGACAGCCAGGAUGUUGGCUUAGAAGCAGCCAUCAUUUAAAGAAAGCGUAAUAGCUCACUGGUCGAGUCGGCCUGCGCGGAAGAUGUAACGGGGCUAAACCAUGCACCGAAGCUGCGGCAGCGACGCUUAUGCGUUGUUGGGUAGGGGAGCGUUCUGUAAGCCUGUGAAGGUGUGCUGUGAGG
rnacentral:rRNA from 1 species